ACUGGUGUGGCUCAACGGUAGAGCAGCUGACUUAUAAUCAGCAGGUUGUAGGUUCGAUUCCUAUCACCGGUUCCA
rnacentral:tRNA from 1 species